UGGGGAAUAUUGGACAAUGGGCGAAAGCCUGAUCCAGCCAUGCCGCGUGUGUGACGAAGGUCUUCGGAUUGUAAAGCACUUUAAGUUGGGAGGAAGGGCAGCAAGCGAAUACCUUGCUGUUUUGACGUUACCGACAGAAUGAGCACCGGCUAACUCUGUGCCAGCAGCCGCGGUAAUACAGAGGGUGCAAGCGUUAAUCGGAAUUACUGGGCGUAAAGCGCGCGUAGGUGGUUCGUUAAGUUGAAUGUGAAAGCCCCGGGCUCAACCUGGGAACUGCAUCCAAAACUGGCGAGCUAGAGUAGGGCAGAGGGUGGUGGAAUUUCCUGUGUAGCGGUGAAAUGCGUAGAUAUAGGAAGGAACACCAGUGGCGAAGGCGACCACCUGGGCUCAUACUGACACUGAGGUGCGAAAGCGUGGGGAGCAAACAGG
rnacentral:rRNA from 1 species